UUUGUAUAUGGAUUGCAUUGUGUGUUAAUGGAUUGCUAUUCUUUUUAUUCUAUUUAUUUUUCUUUAUUCAUAUGUUGUUUAUUUGGAUAGAUUUAUCAUUGUUGUUAAAUGUAUCUUCACAAAUUACAUCAUAACGAAUGAUAUAGAACAAAAUAAAACUAAUAUUUUUUUAUUACACCAAUAUAAAACUAGUUAAUAAGCUGUUUGGCUACAAAAUCUUUUUCAAAUUUUUUGGCUGAGGUAAAAAAGGAAGAUUUUCAAAGUCGCAUUCUUCGUUUUUAUCGACUUAUAACUUCUUAAAUUACUUUUAUAUCCAACUCUCGUCUCUUCCCUGUAUCGCUCUCCUUCGCUACUCCAGCACAGCUCCUUUUUUCUCCACCGGCGAUCCUCCUCCUCCUCCGAUCAAGACCACCGCUGCCGGUGUCGGCGCCUACCUCCAUUUUGGAUCUGGGAAGUUAACUUAUUCUUAUUGAUUUGAGCGGACAGGAUGGAGGCCAUGUCCGUUGCAAUCCAUUCAAUGCUUUUCGUUGAUGCUGCAAUUCCACUUUAUCUAUGGAUACGCCGUCAAGCCUCCCAGAAGAACCUCAGAUUCAGACUUGUAUCUAGGUUUCUAAUGGUCAUCCAUGAGAACUGGAAGCUUAACACUGACUAGGGCACAACUCAAAAACUACUACUCUUCAUUGGUUGAAUUUGGUUUAAGUUGUAGGUUUUGUUUUGGAAAUCAAAGGGGCAAACCAUGAGUGAACACACAAAUAGGCGACAAGCAACAAUAAAUUGAGGAUAUAGGUGAUAUGGACGAUCUUAUAAGGACUUUAUCAUUUAUUACAUUAUGAUGUUUAUGCCCAUAAAAGAAGUAUAAAGAUGUCUAUCUUAUCUAUAAGAUGGAAAAACAUAUGAGUUUCUGUUUCCAACAUCAAAAUUGAUGAUGAUUGUUGUGACAUUCUUUGUGGAAUUUUUAGAAAGAGUGUUGCAUUUACGGGAUGCAUUAAAGUUGAAAAAGUUCGGUUUAUCAUGUCAUGCUUUCGAUAAUGAAUCUCAAAUGUAUUCAUGGAUUUCUUAUGCAAUCAGGCACAAAGUUGAUGAGAUUUUUUGACUGUUUUUAACGUAUCUCCAUCUUUUAAUUCUAGGUCUACUUUUAAGAGUUUAGCUGAAAAUAAGAAUGAUUUGUGAUUUUGAAAUUCUAUCUCAUGUUUCUUUUCCUUACGUGAAAACCUUGAGCAUAACUCUUGUUCAGUUUCUGGAUGAUGGUUAUAAAGAAAAAAAAUAUUUUUCUCAGACUGCCUAGUUCUACAAGAAUUGGAAGACUGCAAGUGGCCGUACUUAAAGAACAUUUUGAUUUCCAGUUUUACCUUAAAGAGGUUAACCAUACAUGAUCCAAUAUUUUUUAAUGCAAUUGAUGGUUUUUAUGGGGUUGAGAUAAAGAUUGAUGUCAAAUCUUAGGUAUUAUAAAUAUAAUGAACAUCUAGGACAUAAGAAUCUUUUGAGUAAUACAUCAUUCCUGGUCAAAGCGUGUAUUCAUAUUGCUAGUCUUGAAAAUACAUCUUGAGUUUAUGAUCUACUCAAUCAACUUCAAAAUGCCAUGAUGUCUUUGAUGGGAUGUGAUUUAACUUUUGAGGUAAUUGAUAACCUAAUUUAUAUUUUAAAUGGAAUAUAUGGAAAUUCGUCUUUUUGAACCAAGAUUGAUAAGCUGGCUUUUGCGUUUUGUGUCUUUUUUUUUCCCAUAAGAAGACUUUUAUUUGCAGAUAAUAACCAUCCUCUUAAGUUUCCAAAUUUGAUUCAUCUUGUGUUGAAUUUGGAAAUCCGGAUAGAUUGUUUCUUAACUCCUAGUUCCCGAGUUGUAGCAAAGAGAAAAAAAGAAGAGAAAAGAAAGUAAGGAGAGAAAAGAAGAAAGAAAAAAAAAGAAACGUCUUUUGUGUUCUUGAGUUUGAGAGAAGUGGAAGGAAAUUGAACAGUUUGUUCUUUCUCUCAAAAUCCUUCUAAAUUGAAAGAAAAGUUAGGAGGAAAAGUGAUCCUUCCAUUUUUUUCCACUUCUUUUAAUGAAACUCAAGAACACUAAUUUCUUUUAGUUUCUUCUCACUUCCACCAAUUUCUUUUUUUUUUUUUUUUUUUUUUUUCCUUUCGUUAAGUUGAACUUGGGAAGUGGGUGUAAGAGCACUACUGGAUUUGCUUUCCUUCUGUCUAAUUCUACAAUCUCUUUAUUUCUCAGGUGUAUUUGCUUUCCUUCUGUCUUGUUACUGUUUACUUUUUUCAGUUUUGGUAAAAGAGUAAUCCUUCUCAAAGAAACAGAGAUUGUAAUGCUCUUUACGAAACAAUCUAUUUGGAUUUUCCAAAAUCAGCACAAGAUGGGUCAAAUUUUGGAAUAUAGGAAAAAUAGGUAUUAUCUAUAAAUAAAAGAGUUUUAUCAUGGGAAAGAAAAACACAAAAGUUAGUCUAUCAAUCAAUCUUGUUCAAAGAUGCAAAUUUCUAUAUAUUUCAUUUAAUAUGUAGAUUAGGUUGUUAAUUACCUCCAAGGUAAGACCACAUAAUGUAAAGACAUUAUGACAUUUUGAAGUUGAUUGAUUAGAUCAUGAACUCGAAAUACAUUUUCUGCACUUGCCAUACGAAUCCAUGUUUUGACCGGGGACAAUAUAUUACUCAAGAGAUUCUUGUGUUUUAAAUGUCCAUUAUAUUUAUAAUACCUAAGAUUUGGUGUAUUAAUCUUGAUCUUAACUGCAUGAAAACCAUCAACUGCAUCAAAAAAAUAUUGGAUCAUAAAUGUUUAACCUCUUUAAGGUAGAUCUGGAAAUUAAAAUGUUCUCCAAAUAUAGACACUUGCAGUCUUCCAAAUCCAAUUCUUUUAGAACGAGACAGCCUGAGAGUUUUUUUUUUUCUUUCUAACCAUGAUCCAGAAACCGAACAAGAAUCAUGCGUAAGGUUUUCAAUCAUGGAAAAGAAACAUGUUUAUGUAAUUUCAAAAUCACAAUUCAUUCUUAUUUUCAGGCUAAGUUCUUAAACAUAGAUGUAGAAAUCACAGAUGAAGGCAUGUUAAAAACGAUCUCAGAAAGCUUCUUAACUUUGUGCCUGAUUGCAUAAGAAAUUCAUGAAUAUAUUUGAGAUUCAUUACCGAAAGCAUGACAUGAUAGCCAAAACUUUUUCAACUUUAAUGCAUCCCGUAAACGUAACACUUUUUCUACGAUUUCCACAAAGGAAGCCACACUCACAUCACCCUCAACUUCCCUAGCUCACAAUAAUUCACCAUCAAUUUUGAUGUUGGGAACAGAAACCCACAUGUUCUUCCAUCUUGUAGAUAAACCAGACGUUUUUAUAGGUUUUUUUUUUUUUUUUUUUUUUUUUUUUUUUUUUUUUUUUUUGUGGGUAUAAACGACAGAAUGUGAUGAAUGAUAAAAGUCUUGAUAUGAUCACCCAUAUCACCUAUAUACAUCAUCUAUUUCUUACCCAAUGUUACUUUGGCAACAUCUUUGUGAAAAUCAUCUAACCUAAUUGUUGGUAUCAACUUCACUAAGAGCAAUGAAUGGACGGUUCAAGUCUUUCAACAGAAAAAUUCUUCAUCAUAUUGGAGAUGAUUUAAAUUCCCUGUUAUGGUUUUGGAGAUGUAAGGUUCCACUAUCUAUCAUAUUAGUUGGAGUUGGAGCUGGGCCAUGUGAUAUGAUGAAAUAAUUUGAAGAUAAUAUCCUCUCUCGUGAAUUUGAUAAUUUGGAGGUCAACAUUUAUAUAAAAAGACGUGAAUGCCCUUGUCAUCCUAUAAUAUUGAUAUGAUGAAAGCAUUUGACGAUAAUAUCUUUGGAUGUUAGUUUGUGAAUUUAUCACACAAAUCAUGUCCAAGAAGAAUUCGGCUCCAAUCCGUAAAGAGACAAAAUAAGCAAUUGCACCUUUGAUGGAAAUUCUUGCUCAAUGUAAAGCAACACUCAGAACCGAAUAUAUUAGGGUAAUGGCAUUUGGUAUAUUAAAGGUAAAAUAAUUACUAAAAGGAAAGGGCAUUUUAGGCAAUUAGUGGAAAAAGAUAUCAUCUGCAAUUGGUAGGUACUCUUUGUAUUCUAAAUUUAGCAGGAGGUUAUGGGUGUAUCUGUAAGAAGGGUAUUUUUGUCAUUUUAGGAAUUAACUACAACUGCAGCUCGUUUGGAGUCUGCUUUCUAUUUGACAUUCUCAUUAUCUACAUGAGAUUAAGAAAAGAAUCAAAUUAAAUGGUAUUCUUGUCUUGAAA